rnacentral:rRNA from 1 species
UACGGAGGAUCCAAGCGUUGUCCGGAUUUAUUGGGUUUAAAGGGUGCGUAGGCGGGCUAUUAAGUCAGUGGUGAAAGUUUGCAGCUUAACUGUAAAAGUGCCAUUGAAACUGAUAGUCUUGAGUAUGGUUGAGGUAGAUGGAAUGUAUCAUGUAGCGGUGAAAUGCUUAGAUAUGAUACAGAACACCAAUUGCGAAGGCAGUCUACUAAGCCAUUACUGACGCUGAGGCACGAAAGCGUGGGGAGCGAAC